GACGAACGCUGGCGGCGUGCUUAACACAUGCAAGUCGUACGGUAAGGCCCUUUCUGGGGUCCACGAGUGGCGCACGGGUGCGUAACACGUGAGUAACCUGCCCACAACUUUGGGAUAACGCUAGGAAACUGGUGCUAAUACUGGAUAUGUGCUCCUGCUGCAUGGUGGGGGUUGGAAAGCUCCGGCGGUUGUGGAUGGACUCGCGGCCUAUCAGCUUGUUGGUGGGGUAGUGGCCUACCAAGGCGGCGACGGGUAGCCGGCCUGAGAGGGUGACCGGCCACAUUGGGACUGAGAUACGGCCCAGACUCCUACGGGAGGCAGCAGGGGGGAAUAUUGCACAAUGGGCGCAAGCCUGAUGCAGCAACGCCGCGUGCGGGAUGACGGCCUUCGGGUUGUAAACCGCUUUCAGCAGGGACGAAGCUUUUUGUGACGGUACCUGCAGAAGAAGCACCGGCUAACUACGUG
rnacentral:rRNA from 1 species